rnacentral:rRNA from 1 species
GCGGCAGGCCUUAUACAUGCAAGUCGAACGGUAACAUUGGUGCUUGCACCAGAUGACGAGUGGCGGACGGGUGCGUAACGCGUAUGCAACCUACCUUUUACUAGAGUAUAGCCCAGAGAAAUUUGGAUUAAUCCUCUAUAAUAUCAUUAAAUCACAUGUUUUUUUGAUUAAAGUUUUAACGGUAAAAGAUGGGCAUGCGUCUUAUUAGUUUGUAGGUGAGGUAACGGCUCACCUAGACUACGAUAAGUAGGGGCCCUGAGAGGGGGAUCCCCCACACUGGUACUGAGACACGGACCAGACUCCUACGGGAGGCAGCAGUAAGGAAUAUUGGACAAUGGACGAAAGUCUGAUCCAGCCAUGCCGCGUGCAGGACGACUGCCCUAUGGGUUGUAAACUGCUUUUAUACAGGAAGAAAAACUCCGACGUGUCGGAGCUUGACGGUACUGUAAGAAUAAGGAUCGGCUAACUCCGUGCCAGCAGCCGCGGUAAUACGGAGGAUCCAAGCGUUAUCCGGAAUCAUUGGGUUUAAAGGGUCCGCAGGCGGUCUUUUAAGUCAGAGGUGAAAGCCUACAGCUCAACUGUAGAACGGCCUUUGAUACUGAAAGACUUGAGUUAUUGUGAAGUGGUUAGAAUGUGUGGUGUAGCGGUGAAAUGCAUAGAUAUCACACAGAAUACCGAUUGCGAAGGCAGAUCACUAACAAUAUACUGACGCUCAGGGACGAAAGCGUGGGGAGCGAACAGGAUUAGAUACCCUGGUAGUCCACGCCGUAAACGAUGGAUACUAGCUGUUCGCUUAACAUUGGUUAAGUGAGUGGCUAAGCGAAAGUGAUAAGUAUCCCACCUGGGGAGUACGGUCGCAA